AUGAAAAAAGCACAAGAGAAGCUAGGAGCAUUGCUGGGGCGAAACCCUGGCUUGUCCAAAGAUUUCAACAACUGUGUUGACUUCAGCUUGACGCCAGAAGAAUUUGAGGCAGGGUGGUGUGAGCUGAUGAUGAAGUAUGAGGCUAUGACUGACUCCCACUUCGAGAAUCUAUACAAAUAUAGAGAAACAUGGGUACCCUGUUACUUCAAGCACCAAUUCUUCCCUUUCUUGCAGUCAACUCAACGCAACGAGAGGUUCAACGCUGUCCUUAAGCGAUAUGUGAACCCAGACAAGUCCAUUUUGAACUUUGUGAAGCAAUAUCAAAAAAUCCAAACACACAUACUAGUCCGGGAGGGUUCAAAAGACUACAUGAUAGGACAUUUGCAAAGUGAAAUGUGGUCAUCUUACCCAAUAGAGAAGCAGGCAUACAUAUCGUAUAGUAGGGACUUGUACGAGAAGUUUCGUGAUGAGUUUCAGUUGACUACGAGGUACAACGUGCGACCGCAUGGUGAAAACUUGUAUGAGGUUUACCCAAAUCAAGAGUGGGUUGCCAAAUAUGGUUCUAGG
rnacentral:rRNA from 1 species